rnacentral:misc_RNA from 1 species
GACAGAAAGGAACACUAGUGCCGGAUUCGACGACUGUGGGCGUGAUGGUAUGAACAUUGUUUCCGUGCAAGUUGUAUCACCGCGCCACUCUUUUUGUGGUGUGGCUGAGCACACUGCAUGUUCGUUGUCCAAUCACAGAGGCACCAUCUACCUCUGCGAUUCGUGCCUGUGCACAUUUGCACAUGCGGGCCAUUUACAGCAGCAUCUGCAACGUUGUAGUAAUGCAUUUUGGAUCCCGGGCGAUGAGAUUUAUAGAGACGAGGAGCGUCGUCUUUGUGUGUUUGUGCUCGAUGGUAGAAAGCCACAUUGUGCCGCUAUGGCACGACGAAUUUGCUUGCUAUCAAAACUGUUUCUCAUCGACAAGGUGACACUAGAUGAUGUUCACUUUUUCUCGUUCAAUGCGCUUUUCGAGGUCGAUGAUGAGGGGUUUCACUUUGUGGGCUACUUUAGCAAAGAAUGGAUGAGCAGCUCUAGUUGUGUGAACACGCUAUCGUGCGUGAUGGUGCUGCCGCCUUUUCGAUCAAAAGGCUAUGGUAGCUUUCUUGUCCGACUCUCCUAUGAAAUUGCACGGCUCGAGGGGAUGGUCGGCACCCCUGAGCGCCCGCUUAGCAAGAGCGGCAAUGCUCUUUUUCGUAAAGUUUGGCGUGAGGAGGUGCUGCUUGCCGUGUUCGCGCUCAGUGAACAAGGUUCCCCGGUGACGUUGGGGGAGCUGAGCAAGGUGUCAAGUCUGAUUGUCGAAGACGUUCUGGUCGCGCUGCAGGACUUGAAUGUUCUUUUUAGCGUCGGUAAGCAAGGGCCCCUCCUUGUGGUCAACGCCUCGGAGAAGCUGGAACUCCUGAAGCGGCGCCUUGCGGCUGAAAAGCUGUAUUGGACCAGCGCGCCAUCGUGAAGGAUUGAUGACUGUUAUUGUUUGUGUGUGUGUGUGUGUGAAAUACGAUAAGGUAGGCCAACAACGACUAUGAAACAGAACAGAGAAAUGAAUGUUAGUGGGGAACGUGGUCUUGUUAUGGACAGCGUAUGAACUCGUAAGUCCGCAGCUUGCCGGGUGAGAAUGCGCUUUUUCGGCAUGUUUCUUCAGGCUUGAUGGUCAACUCUGCUUUCUGAUAUUGUCUCUCUGUGCCAACUUCUCUUCCUGAUGGUGUUUCUGCUUUGCUCUCUGUGCUUCGGUACUGUGUCGUGAGCAACGGCCGUGACCCUUAUAG